GAGCCCUGAUGUCAAGAAUUAAUAUAGACGGUGAUGGUGGCAAGGGUGCCUCCAUAAGGUGCCAGAAGUCCCAGCCUGGAGCCAGAGGCUGCUAUUGCAAGCCAGAUGGGGGAUGAUCUAUGUUAGGUGUCAGAAAGGUGGUGUACGCAGGAAGGCGAGGCAAAGAUGUGAUUAGACUACCUUCAAUAAGACAGGGCAACAGACACAUGACAGAAAGUGACUGGGAGAGAGAGACUUUGAAAGGACUGGCCUGAAACUGAACUGGGUUUCCAAGUUUAUGGUUGAG